AUGUCAACCACUACGAGAUGUGGUUUGUGCGGCUCUGAAGACUCAUGGCAACACUCUUUGCUCCAUUGCACAGUUGCUCGAUGUGUAUGGGCGUUGCAAGAUCAUGACUUGGUUGAAGCUAUAAACAGCACCCAUGAGCCGGAUGCAAGACGUUGGCUGUUCUCCCUUUUGGACACACUAUCUUCUAUUGAAUUCACCCAAGUAGCAGUUACCAUGUGGGCUCUCUAGUAUGCUCGUCGGCAGGCACUCCAUGAAACUCCGAAUGUUGUACAACCAAGGCAGAAGUGGAUCUCUCCACCGCCGGGGUUUGCUAAGAUAAGAGUUGAUGGAGCGGUCUCGAGAGACAACCUGCAUGGCUCGUUCAGCGCAAUCUGCAGAGACUCCUAUGGCCAGUUUUUGGGUGCAUCAGCAAUCAAAAUACAGGGGGUCACGGAGCCCGCAACUCUCGAAGCACUGGCUUGCCGGGAGACGCUAGCACUAGCUUCAGACUUGGCCCUGUCCGAUUUCAUUGUGGCUACUGACUGCCAGGGAGUAGCAGACGACAUCAAGAAUGGUACGGGAGGGACGUAUGCUAGCAUCGUCAAAGAGAUUAGUGAAACAUCAAGAGACUUUCAUCAAUGUACCUUCAUCUUCGAAGGUAGAUCCACCAAUAUUGAGGUGCAUAGUCUCGCUAAGCACGCUUUCGAUCUGGAUCUUGGGCGCCAUUUGUGGCUUAUAAACCCACCAGACAUUCAUUGUAUCCCUAUGAACUUAUUUGAAUAA
rnacentral:rRNA from 1 species